UACAGAGGUCUCAAGCGUUGUUCGGAUUCAUUGGGCGUAAAGGGUGCGUAGGCGGCGUGGUAAGUCGGGUGUGAAAUCUCGGAGCUUAACUCCGAAACUGCAUUCGAUACUGCCGUGCUUGAGGACUGGAGAGGAGACUGGAAUUUACGGUGUAGCGGUGAAAUGCGUAGAUAUCGUAAGGAAGACCAGUGGCGAAGGCGGGUCUCUGGACAGUUCCUGACGCUGAGGCACGGAGGCCAGGGGAGCAAACGGG
rnacentral:rRNA from 1 species